rnacentral:rRNA from 1 species
CAAUCGAACCCGGAGCUAGCUGGUUCUCCCCGAAAUGUGUUUAGGCGCAGCGGUUAAUAUUAUAGCUUAGAGGUAAAGCACUGUUUCGGUGCGGGCGGCGAAAGCUGUACCAAAUCGAGACAAACUCAGAAUACCAGAUGCACACACAACCAGACAGACGGUGGGGGAUAAGCUUCAUCGUCAAGAGGGAAACAGCCCAGACCACCAGCUAAGGUCCCCAAAUUGUCACUAAGUGAUAAAGGAGGUGGGAGUGCAAAGACAACCAGGAGGUUUGCCUAGAAGCAGCCAUCCUUAAAAGAGUGCGUAAUAGCUCACUGG